UACGGAGGGUGCAAGCGUUAUCCGGAUUCACUGGGUUUAAAGGGUGCGUAGGUGGGCAGGUAAGUCAGUGGUGAAAUCUCCGGGCUUAACCCGGAACUGCCGUUGAUACUAUCUGUCUUGAAUAUAGUGGAGGUGAGCGGAAUAUGUCAUGUAGCGGUGAAAUGCUUAGAUAUGACAUAGAACACCCAUUGCGAAGGCAGCUCGCUACACUAUUAUUGACACUGAGGCAACGAAGACGUGGGGAUCAAACAGGGAUUAAG
rnacentral:rRNA from 1 species